rnacentral:rRNA from 1 species
UAAUACGGAGGAUCCAAGCGUUAUCCGGAAUCAUUGGGUUUAAAGGGUCCGUAGGCGGCCAGGUAAGUCAGUGGUGAAAGCCCAUCGCUCAACGGUGGAACGGCCAUUGAUACUGCCAGGCUUGAAUUUCUGGGAAGUAACUAGAAUAUGUAGUGUAGCGGUGAAAUGCUUAGAUAUUACAUGGAAUACCAAUUGCGAAGGCAGGUUACUACCAGUGGAUUGACGCUGAUGGACGAAAGCGUGGGUAGCGAACAGGAUUAGAUACCCUGGUAGUCCACGCCGUAAACGAUGGAUACUAGCUGUUCGGGGCAACCUGAGUGGCUAAGCGAAAGUGAUAAGUAUCCCACCUGGGGAGUACGGGCGCAAGCCUG